rnacentral:rRNA from 1 species
UGGGGAAUCUUCCGCAAUGGGCGAAAGCCUGACGGAGCAACGCCGCGUGAGUGAUGACGGCCUUCGGGUUGUAAAGCUCUGUGAUCGGGGACGAACGGUUGCAGGAAUAAUACUCCUGUGAAGUGACGGUACCCGAAUAGCAAGCCACGGCUAACUACGUGCCAGCAGCCGCGGUAAUACGUAGGUGGCAAGCGUUGUCCGGAAUUAUUGGGCGUAAAGCGCGCGCAGGCGGCUUCCUAAGUCCAUCUUAAAAGUGCGGGGCUUAACCCCGUGAUGGGAUGGAAACUGGGAAGCUGGAGUAUCGGAGAGGAAAGUGGAAUUCCUAGUGUAGCGGUGAAAUGCGUAGAGAUUAGGAAGAACACCGGUGGCGAAGGCGACUUUCUGGACGACAACUGACGCU